GUGAAUCAUCGAAUCUUUGAACGCAUAUUGCACUCUCUGGUAUUCCGGAGAGUAUGCCUGUUUGAGGGUAAUUAAAAAGAAUCUUUAACCAAUUUUUUUUGGUUAAAGGAAAUGAGUUCGUCGCGUUUAUAGCGGUAGCUUGAAAUAAAUGGUAGUCUCAUUUUAGUCGUGGCGAGUAAUAAUUUUAUUUCGUGAAAUCUAUAUUAUGUGACUAUCCGGUUUUGAUGCAUA
rnacentral:misc_RNA from 1 species